UCAGGUUCGAGUGCUGUCUCAAGUAUCUCUUCUUGAGGUGCAAGGAAUGCAUCUUCCUGAGUUUAGCGUCUUUGGUGCCUAUUUCUGACUCUCACAGCUGUACUUGGAGCAUAAUCUGGCCUAUAGUAAAUAUUUUAAAGUUUAUCCUGGAAGAUGAGCUUCAUCAAAUAGAUGCAUAUUCUGUAGAAGAGAGAAUGCCUUUUGUUAGACAUCUGAACGAAGUGCAGAGGAUCAUCUCUCCACAAUGACUCUCAGAUGCAAAGGAAAAUCCUCGACCUCUUCUUUUAGCACCUGUUAAAAGGUUUGGACUUCUGGGAUGUUCUUCAAAUCAACCUGCAGAAUGGCCACAGCUUGGAGGGAGACCUGCCCUUUUGCCACCAGCCAUUUGUGUUAAACCACUGCAGCACCAAUGGGGAGCUUCAGCUAAGAAGACACUGACAGCACUGAGAACGUGGAAGUCCUGUAACCACCAUCACACCCUCUGUCACCUGCGAGAAAUGAAAAAUUGAAGAAGGCUUGUCCUUUAAAACAAAUGCUCAUGAAUGUCACUGCUGCACCUUUGUGAUUUUAAAUUCAAGUUGUAAACAGUCACAGAAUAAAGUUGUGUGUUUUACUCA
ensembl:lncRNA